ACGAACGCUGGCGGCGUGCCUAACACAUGCAAGUCGAACGGACUGAUCCCUUCGGGGAUGAAAGUUAGUGGCGGACGGGUGAGUAACGCGUGAGCAACCUGCCUUUCAGAGGGGAAUAACGUUUGGAAACAGACGCUAAUACCGCAUAACGCAUAGGUGUCGCAUGGCAUUUAUGCCAAAGGAGCAAUCCGCUGAAAGAUGGGCUCGCGUCCGAUUAGAUAGUUGGUGGGGUAACGGCCUACCAAGUCGACGAUCGGUAGCCGGACUGAGAGGUUGAACGGCCACAUUGGGACUGAGACACGGCCCAGACUCCUACGGGAGGCAGCAGUGGGGGAUAUUGCACAAUGGGCGGAAGCCUGAUGCAGCAACGCCGCGUGAGGGAAGACGGUUUUCGGAUUGUAAACCUCUGUCUUUGGUGACGAAGAAAUGACGGUAGCCGAGGAGGAAGCCACGGCUAACUACGUGCCAGCCGCGGC
rnacentral:rRNA from 1 species